AGCAAUCCAUGAGUACAGUGGCGUACGGGUGAGUAACACGUGGAUCAUCUACCUCUUUGUGGGGAAUAACCCUGGGAAACCGGGGAUAAUACCGCAUAAGCCUGAGAAGGGAAAGCAGCAAUGCGCUGAGAGAGGAGUCCGCGGCCGAUUAGCUAGUUGGCAGGGUAAAAGCCUACCAAGGCAGAGAUCGGUAGCCGGCCUGAGAGGGCACACGGCCACACUGGCACUGAAACACGGGCCAGACUCCUACGGGAGGCAGCAGUGGGGAAUCUUGCACAAUGGGGGAAACCCUGAUGCAGCGACGCCGCGUGAGCGAUGAAGCCCUUCGGGGUGUAAAGCUCUUUCGGCAGGGAAGAUUAUGACGGUACCUGCAGAAGCAGCUGCGGCUAACUACGUGCCAGCAGCCGCGGUAAUACGUAGGCAGCAAGCGUUGUUCGGAGUUACUGGGCGUAAAGGGUGUGUAGGCGGUUGUUUAAGUUUGGUGUGAAAUCUCCCGGCUCAACUGGGAGGGUGCGCCGAAUACUGAAUGACUUCGAGUGCGGGAGAGGAUAGUGGAAUUCCUGGUGUAGCGGUGAAAUGCGUAGAUAUCAGGAGGAACACCGGUGGUGUAGACGGCUAUCUGGACCGUAACUGACGCUGAGACACGAAAGCGUGGGUAGCAAACAGGAUUAGAUACCCUGGUAGUCCACGCCCUAAACGAUGCAUAUUUGGUGUGGGUCAUUCAGUUGAUCCGUGCCGGAGCUAACGCGUUAAAUAUGCCGCCUGGGGAGUACAGUCGCAAGGCUGAAACUCAAAGGAAUUGAC
rnacentral:rRNA from 1 species